rnacentral:lncRNA from 10 species
CCAGUGGGAGGAAGGGACAAGGUCAAAUCAGAGGGCAACCUGUUCAUGACGUAUCUGAAAACAUCUCUUUUUCUCCUUCUGCCUGGCUGCUGCUUUGAACGCUUGACUCUCAACAUUCAAAUAUUCUCACGUGAAUUAUCCACAGCAAUUCAAGACCAAGCCCUAUAGCUUUAGAGGCUGCUGGAAAGAGAGCAGCAUGUAAGAUCCUAAAUAACUGGCUGAAUUAUAUUUAUUCAUUUGUUGACUUGUUUACUGUCUAUCUCAUCCAUACAAUAGAAAUUCCUGGAAGGCCCAUCUUGCCUAUUAUCAUAUCUCCAGUGCAUAAAACAGUUCCUGACACAUAGUAG